UGGGGAAUAUUGGACAAUGGGCGAAAGCCUGAUCCAGCCAUGCCGCGUGUGUGAAGAAGGUCUUCGGAUUGUAAAGCACUUUAAGUUGGGAGGAAGGGCAGUUACCUAAUACGUAAUUGUUUUGACGUUACCGACAGAAUAAGCACCGGCUAACUCUGUGCCAGCAGCCGCGGUAAUACAGAGGGUGCAAGCGUUAAUCGGAAUUACUGGGCGUAAAGCGCGCGUAGGUGGGUUGUUAAGUUGGAUGUGAAAUCCCCGGGCUCAACCUGGGAACUGCAUUCAAAACUGACUGACUAGAGUAUGGUAGAGGGUGGUGGAAUUUCCUGUGUAGCGGUGAAAUGCGUAGAUAUAGGAAGGAACACCAGUGGCGAAGGCGACCACCUGGACUAAUACUGACACUGAGGUGCGAAAGCGUGGGGAGCAAACA
rnacentral:rRNA from 1 species